UUGACCUGCCCCUAAAAAACUUACUGAUCCGCCGUUUUCUAAAGAGAUCAAAGAAAAAAGCAAAAAAAAAGAAGAUACAAAGACAAAACAAGGCUGACCUGAACACCUAAGAGACCUAGGGAGCUAAGGAAAAAGCUGAAAAAGAAAACCUAGACUCCGAAGAAACAAUAAUGCCGUAUAACUCCAAAAGAAGACCCCCCCUUCAUCGUCUCCUUCAAUAAAAAACGAGAAAAUCUGCCAUGGCUUCAUCCUAGCCCAGAACAAACAACCAUUUCACAAACAGACGUUAAAUCAUCAAAAAUAGUUUGAGUUUAAGUGAUGUCUCCGUUUGAACUCCGGCGAGCUUUACGGCGAGUUUUCCAUGAUCUCGUCAUGGUUCUAUCGUAGCUCUGUCUAAAGUUCUAGUGAGGUCCUCAUUCAUCCGCGAUCUGGAUCCGGCGAGUUUUUGAACUCUGGUUGACCUCCUGUUCCCCGUCGAGUAGUAGUCGGCAUUUUUCUCCUGUAAUUCAACCUUGGAAAUUUAUUUUAUCAAUGUUGAAGAAAGUUUAUCCUAAGAGAAUCUGAGGCAGGUACAUCUGGUUACCAGUCCGGUAUGCAUAUUUGAUCCCCCUACAAGACUACACGAUGAGUUGCCCUUCCGAGCUGUACUGCAGCAACUAAAGUCUUCCUUUUGUUAUAUAUACCUGUCUAUUUCAUUUCAGACGAUAGACUAGUAAUCUUUUGUAUAUGUUGCUAGAAUUGCCCAUACACUUGUGACUCUGGGUCUUGGCACAUGCUAGUAGACUCUUGAUUUU